AAAUUGAAGAGUUUGAUCAUGGCUCAGAUUGAACGCUGGCGGCAGGCCUAACACAUGCAAGUCGAACGGUAACAGGAAACAGCUUGCUGUUUCGCUGACGAGUGGCGGACGGGUGAGUAAUGUCUGGGAAACUGCCCGAUGGAGGGGGAUAACUACUGGAAACGGUAGCUAAUACCGCAUAACGUCGCAAGACCAAAGAGGGGGACCUUCGAGCCUCUUGCUAUCGGAUGUGCCCAGAUGGGAUUAGCUAGUAGGUGGGGUAACGGCUCACCUAGGCGACGAUCCCUAGCUGGUCUGAGAGGAUGACCAGCCACACUGGAACUGAGACACGGUCCAGACUCCUACGGGAGGCAGCAGUGGGGAAUAUUGCACAAUGGGCGCAAGCCUGAUGCAGCCAUGCCGCGUGUAUGAAGAAGGCCUUCGGGUUGUAAAGUACUUUCAGCGGGGAGGAAGGGAGUAAAGUUAAUACCUUUACUCAUUGACGUUACCCGCAGAAGAAGCACCGGCUAACUCCGUGCCAGCAGCCGCGGUAAUACGGAGGGUGCAAGCGUUAAUCGGAAUUACUGGGCGUAAAGCGCACGCAGGCGGUUUGUUAAGUCAGAUGUGAAAUCCCCGGGCUCAACCUGGGAACUGCAUCUGAUACUGGCAAGCUUGAGUCUCGUAGAGGGGGGUAGAAUUCCAGGUGUAGCGGUGAAAUGCGUAGAGAUCUGGAGGAAUACCGGUGGCGAAGGCGGCCCCCUGGACGAAGACUGACGCUCAGGUGCGAAAGCGUGGGGAGCAAACAGGAUU
rnacentral:rRNA from 1 species